rnacentral:lncRNA from 1 species
GUACAUUGAAGGAUACCUACAAGCUAUGUUAGACUCAAUGUACAGGCAAGAAUAUCUUCGAGUGAGAGUAAUUGAUGACCAGGAAACUGAUUAAGUGAGAAAAUAGAAAUAUCAGUACUGCAACAAAAUUUAUUUAUUUAUUUGAGAUUUAGAUGGCAGCAAAAGGGGACAUAUAAUUGCUGAGGCAUGUUUCAUAAUUAUAUUAUCACUUCUAACAAAGUGUUCAUCCAAGU